UGAGUACGAGAUGCUACGGCAUCGAAGCAGUCUAUGUCAUACUUCCAAGAAAAGCUUGCACUGCCAUAAACAAAGAAUGCCUGUACCAUAACCGACACAGGUGGGUAGGUAGAGUAUACUAAGGGGCGCGAGAUAACUCUCUCUAAGGAACUCGGCAAAAUGACUCCGUAACUUCGGGAGAAGGAGUGCCUUAUUUAUAAGGUUGCAAUAACAAGAUCCAAGCAACUGUUUAUCAAAAACACAGGUCUCCGCUAAGUCGUAAGACGAUGUAUGGGGGCUGACGCCUGCCCAGUGCCAGAAGGUUAAAGAAGUUGGUUAGUGUAUGCGAAGCUGAUGACUGAAGCCCUGGUGAACGGCGGCCGUAACUAUAACGGUCCUAAGGUAGCGAAAUUCCUUGUCGGGUAAGUUCCGACCCGCACGAAAGGCGUAAUGAUUUGGAUACUGUCUCGGAGAGAGGCUCGGUGAAAUAGACUUGUCUGUGAAGAUGCGGACUACCUGCACCAGGACAGAAAGACCCUAUGAAGCUUUACUGUAACUUGAAAUUGGAAUUGGACUUUGCUUGCGCAGUAUAGGUGGGAAGCGUUGAAGAUAUUCUUGCGGGAGUAUUGGAGCUAUCAGUGAGAUACCACUCUUGUAAUGUUAGAUUUCUAACUUUGAACCAUAAUCUGGUCAAAGAACAGUUUCAGGUGGGCAGUUUGACUGGGGCGGUCGCCUCCCAAAUGGUAACGGAGGCGUACAAAGGUUUCCUCUGAACGGAUAGAAAUCGUAUCUAGAGUGUAAAGGCAUAAGGAAGCUUGACUGUGAGACCUACAAGUCGAGCAGGGACGAAAGUCGGUCUUAGUGAUCUGACGGUACUGAGUGGAAAGGCCGUCACUCAACGGAUAAAAGUUACUCUAGGAUAACAGGCUGAUCUCCCCCAAGAGUUCACAUCGACGGGGAGGUUUGGCACCUCGAUGUCGGCUCAUCGCAUCCUGGGGCGGUAGUACGUCCCAAGGGUUGGGCUGUUCGCCCAUGAAAGCGGUACGCGAGCUGGGUUCAGAACGUCGUGAGACAGUUCGGUCCAUAUCCGGUGUAGGCGUUAGAAUAUUGAGAGGAGCCUUCUUUAGUACGAGAGGACCGAGAAGGACACACCGCUGGUGUACCAGUUAUCGUGCCAACGGUAAACGCUGGGUAGCUAUGUGUGGAGUGGAUAACCGCUGAAAGCAUCUAAGUGGGAAGCCCACCUCAAGAUGAGUAUUCUCAC
rnacentral:rRNA from 1 species